UCGGCACUGACCUUUCGACGAGAGAUGGCGCUGUCGAGGUUUGAACGGAGCCGCUCCGCCGCCGCUCGGCACCGCCGGGUGCAGCCCGCUCCGCGCUCGCACGGCUCCCCCCUCCAGCCCCGGCCGAGGGGCACCGGGAGGGGAGGCUAAAGGGAAGACAAUUAGUUCGCGAUGUAUUCCGUUAAUUAGCCCGGCCAGGCAGGCCGAGCGCCGGCGGGAGCGGGGCUUGCAAACUUGCAGGGCUUUCGGACCUCUCUGCUGGGGGCGGCCGGGGAACGAUCGCUGCCGGCAGCAAGCGGCAAACCCAGGGGGCAGCCGCCGCGGGGGGGCGGCCCGGGGGUGUCGGUACCGGCACCAGGUACCGGCUGGAGCCCGGCUGCGCUCGGCAGCACCGCCGAGCCCCGCCGAGCCCCGCGGAGCCGCCCCCUCCCUCGGGCCGUCCCCGCACGCCCCCGGGCCAAGUCCCCCGGUGCCCUCGGGUGCCCGGCCGGCCAGCAGCACCCGGGGGCUCCGCACCCCGGGGCAGAGCAGGGCAGAGCAGGGCAGAGCAGGGCAGAGCAGGACAAAGCAAGGCAGCGCGGAGCGGAGCGGAGCCGGGCGGGCACCCGACGGCGCGUCCCGGCGGGCGGAGCGGCCCCAGCCCGGUGCCCGGUCGCCGGUGAGCGGGGCGGGCAGGAAGGGGUUACGGCGCUCCCAGCUGACAGUCAGCUGAUUGCGCCCUGAUUGACAGCCCCGAAAAGUUUCCUUGUUUCUAUACUAUUAUGCUAAUGCCGGCGGCUGCAGGCAGCCCAUUGGGCCGCCCGCCCAGCCAAUUUGCCAUUCGGAGGCUGACGUCAGGAGCGCUAUAAAACUCUGCAAUGCUUUUAAACUCUCCUGCUGGAUGAAACCUUUAAAAUAUUUUUCAUCUUCUUGCCGUAGCUUUGGGGUUGAGUUGUUUUUUUUUUUUUUUUUUCUCUCUCUCUCCUUUUUUUUUUUUUUAAUGAUUGUUAUUAUUUUGGUUGCGAUAUCGACUUUGAUUUUUUUUUUGUCUUCGGUCUCUUCUCCCUCCUCCUUUCCCCGAUGAACCUCUCUCCUCACUUUGCACUUUGCAUGAGAAAGCCCAGAGGAAAGGCACCAUGAAGUGUUAAAAAUAACCAAACCGAACCUAAAAAAAAAAAAAAAAAGGGAGAGAUUUACUCGCAACAACACCAGCUAACACUUCCAGCUGCAGUUUGCAAGCUGCAAAAAGAGAGAGAGGAGAGAGAGAGAGAGAGAGGAGGAAAAAAAAAAAAAAAACCUUUAUGCAAAAGGCGAAUAGCGAGAGCCCCUCGCUCUGAUGCAUCAGCAGCAGCGGAGACUCUGCAAGGGAUAACGCGGAGCCGGAGCGAGAGCGGCCGGGGCGGAGCGGAGCGGAGCCGGAGCCGAGGCUGCGGCGAGAGGCAGCGGCAGGAGGAGCGGUGCGGAGGGGUGCGGAGCGGUGCGGAGCGGUGCGGAGCGGAGCUCGCCCGGCAGCAAGCUGGCUCACCCGGCGGCAACUCAGAGCAGUCCCCUCGCUCCCGGAGCGCACCCUUUCUGGAGGACUGUCAGCAGCAAAAGGAUGGCAUCAGAACUGGCAAUGAGCGGCUCCGACCUGCCCACCAGUCCCCUGGCCAUGGAAUAUGUUAAUGACUUCGAUCUGAUGAAGUUUGAAGUGAAAAAGGAGCCGGUGGAGACCGACCGCAUUAUCAGCCAGUGCGGCCGCUUGAUCGCCGGGGGCUCGCUCUCCUCCACCCCGAUGAGCACGCCCUGCAGCUCGGUGCCCCCGUCCCCCAGCUUCUCGGCGCCCAGCCCCGGCUCCGGCAGCGACCAGAAGGGCCACCUGGAAGACUACUACUGGAUGACGGGCUACCCGCAGCAGCUCAACCCCGAGGCGCUGGGCUUCAGCCCGGAGGACGCGGUGGAGGCGCUCAUCAACAGCAGCCACCACCCGCUGCCCGGCGCCUUCGAUGGCUAUGCUAGAGGGCAGCAGCUGGCCGCGGCCGCCGGCUCCGGGGGCUCGGGGCCGGCCGAGGAGAUGGGCUCGGCGGCCGCCGUGGUGUCGGCGGUGAUCGCCGCGGCGGCGGCGCAGGGCGGCGCGCCCCACUACCACCACCACCACCACCACCACCCGCACCACGGCGCCGGGGGGCACCCCCACGGCGCGGCGCCGGGCAGCGCGCCGCCUUCCUCCUCCUCCUCCUCCUCCUCCUCCUCCUCCUCGUCGGCCGCCGGCUCCGGAGGCGGCGGCGGCGGCGGCGGCGGCGGCGGCGGGGGCGCCGGGGGGCUGCACCACCCGCACCACGGCGGAGGCGGCCUGCACUUCGACGACCGCUUCUCGGACGAGCAGCUGGUCACCAUGUCGGUGCGGGAGCUCAACCGGCAGCUGCGGGGCGUCAGCAAGGAAGAGGUGAUCCGGCUGAAGCAGAAGAGGAGGACCCUCAAAAACAGGGGCUAUGCCCAGUCCUGCCGCUUCAAGAGGGUCCAGCAGCGGCACGUCCUGGAGUCGGAGAAGAACCAGCUGCUGCAGCAAGUGGAGCACCUAAAGCAGGAGAUCUCCAGGCUGGUCCGGGAGAGGGACGCCUACAAGGAAAAGUACGAGAAGCUGGUCAGCAAUGGCUUCAGAGAAAACGGAUCCAGCAGCGACAACCCUUCCUCUCCAGAGUUUUUCAUGCCUUAGAAAGCCCAGAGUGAACCAAGGAGCAGAGAAAAAAUAUUCAAAGGACUUCCUCCAACUUUUGAAAGUUAUUUGCCCUAAACAAUCAGCCCCAAAGGUUAAUGUGCUAGAAAUGUUAAGGUCUCCAAGCCCCUCUUCACCGCAGUUCUCCAUGUCAAAGGGCAUUUUGGCUUCGAAAGGCUCCUCAGACCCUCGACCCAGCUAGUUUACAGCGACCUUCCCGGAGAUCCUCCAGAGGAAGGAGGCAGGCUGUGCUCAGAAUCCUCUCCCACCCUCUGAAUGGGAUUAGCAGCCCAGUUUGUUUGAAAAGCCUCUCUGAAGAAUGCUCUGGCCCCUCUGGGACGAUGGCUUUAUCUCCAGACCCAGCCUCAUAAACCCAGCAUAUAUAUAUAUAUAUAUAUAUUUAAAAAUUCAAUUUUAUCCCCACCCCACUCCUCCUGCUGUUGGUCCAACACCUUCCCAGCUUUAAAACCAUCCCUGCUGGGUACUGGUGGCACCGAAAGCAGAGGACCUGUUACCGUUCCCCUACCGGCACCCCAUCCCACGCUGGGUGCUGGGGUCAGGAUGCGACCCUGAUGCCCCCCGAGCCGUGGGCGCUGCCUGUUGCUGCAAGCCCACCUCCUCCCAUCGGAUGGACCCCGGUGGUGCCCGCCGGGGGUGGCAGCAGGCAUGUCCCCCCCAGUUUGGCAGGCGGUGGCCGUGGUCCUCGCUGCCGCACCUCACCCCUCCCCGGCACCCGGGCAGCGCAGUGCCCUUUGGCAUCUGACCUUCUGUUGCACUGGGGUUUGAGUAAUGGUUCAAGCUCCAGAUUCUGGUUAAUUCGAGUUCCAUUUUCUGGUUAAUGUGUAAGCUGUGGGUAAACUGGUCGCUAUUGGCUGAGCAGAGAAUUAUCUCCUCUCAUAAAGACGGGGUUUAUUUUUGAUUUUCUUUAAUUCCUUCUCCCACCUCCCCUGGCUGAGCCUUUGCUGAUACCCACGUUUAUUCACAGGGGGUCACUCAGAGGCUUGGCCGGGAGCUCUUUCCCACUGCCACCCUUUCAGAGAGCUCCUGGAGGAGCCCUGCUCUGUAUGGGGAUGGAGCGAGGGCAGCAGAGCCCUGAGCCCACCAGCAAUGGGACCCACUCCUGGUCCCCACACCACACUGCCAGCACGGGCUGACACUGGGCAAGGUUAGGAGCAGGCUCUAGAGUGUGAAGGGCGGUGGGAAUCGCAUGAGUAGCGCAGAGCCCUGCUGCCUCCCUCAAGUGUCUUCUUUCUCAGAGGAAAAAAAAAAAAAAAAGCUGUUUGAACAGCGAUAAGAGAAAUCCUUCCUAGAAAUAGGGCGAUUGCAAAAGGGAAAAUUCCCAUCACACGCCCAACCUGAGAGGGAAGAGGAGGCUUGCCUUUCUCCCAGCUUCACAUUGUUAUUACACUCCCUAAUCUUUCUUUGCAAAUAAAAAAAUAAUGCAGCCUUCACUAGGCUGCGUUUGAAUUUCAGCCUGAAACCCGCUAACUUCCCAAGUGAAGGGAGAGGAAAAUGACAGCAGCAAGUUUUAAUGUUCUCUAAAGUGAAGCGACUUUUGGGGUUCUCUGUAUGAAUCAUUGCAGGGGAGCGCCCACCUUUGCCGCAGGACUGCUUGCUGGGCACUAAUUGGAACCACUCUUCUCUGAAUAACCCACAUUCAUUAAUCACCCCUCGCUUGGCUAUGGCCUCAAUCCUGCUCCCAAUGAGCUUGAGGUAAACCCCCGGUGCUCUCUGAGGGGAGCAGGAUCCUGCCGUCCCCCCGCAGGUUCCUCCCGUGCCGAAGCAGGGGGAGCGCUGCCAGAGCUGGGGAACCGCUCUGUCAGGAGACAUGCGUGGUCUUAAUCUCCCCAUCACUAACAAUGUCCCGCUUCUACCAUAGUCCUGUGGUGCUUUCCCAUUUAUUAACUACAUUACAAAGAACUUUCAUGUGACCGGUGCUGGGAGAUACGUGCACCGAGCGGCCCUUUGCUGGCCGUGAAACGGAGCGCACUGCGCUGCGGCCCCUUCCUCCCCACCCCACCUCACCCUCGGGCUUUAUUUUUUUUAUUUAUUUUUUUCCUAAAAUGAAUCAAACCCCUCUGCCUAACAUCCAGGGCCCACGAGUAUUUCCGUGUUGGUUGCUGCAGCAUUUUCCCUGCCUGAGAAAAAACGUCAUCCUGGCCCGCAUCUGAAAAUCAGGGAGCAGAAGGGAGGGAACUAGCCCAGUCACACCGGCGUACAUUUAUUUCUUCAGCCGGUGUACAUAUAUUUCUUCAACCGGUGUACAUUUAUUUCUUCAAAUUUAUUUCCUCACCACUGCCGGCAGGUGCGGUGCAAGAAGUGCCUGCUCACAGCAGAGCGCUGAGAGCUUCUAUGUAUUAGAAAGUCCUCUUUGCCCUUUUAAAACAACAACAAAAAAAGUGUGUGCAGACUCAAAAUGCCACUUGAAAACUACACCCCCCCGCAAAACGUGGCAGCAAAUUUUAAGUGUAAAAAAUGAACUUUCCCAGCUCUUUUUUCCUUUCCUUUCUGAAAGCUUCUGCGCAGCUGUUUCCUCUCCCUCUCUCCGUGUAGUGUGUAGGAAGUUCUCGAUCUAGAAUCAUUCAUAAUUUUAAUACCAAUAUCUAUUUGACAUAAUAUACUAAUAUCAGAUACAGAGUGUAGCUGCUUCCUGGAUUUAGGGAGGAAAUGAUGCAUAUAUCAGAAUUAUCUGCUCAGAUGCCAGAACUACACUGGUGUCAUUUCAGCAUGUGCUGCAUUGAAAGGAAAUCCUCUAUAUUUAUUACGCCGAUCAUCAGAGGAGCUAAAUGGACCCUCUGUUUCUGACACCUGUUCAGAUGGCCAAAUUAAAAAUUUCAUGCAGGAAAGAAAAAAAACGCUACACAGUUCAGUGUUGUGAAUUCAGGUUUUUAAUAAACUUUCCUCCCCACCGUUUCCAAAAUCACUGAGAUCAGAUUGUGAGAGGCUGCCACGAGGCCUGGCCCUUCCAGGGGCAGCUAUGGAGAGUGUGAUUUAUUUUGUUUGCUCAGCCGGGACGAAAACCAAUCCUGUUUGUACACACACACACACACUCUCGAGCAGUCCGUAGUCAAAUGCUUCAGAUAUCUGUUUUAAGUGCACGUCUCGGUAUGAAUAGCACGAGGUAGCACACCAGGACGUGGCAGAGGUGAGUGGCUGUUGAAAGAACCGGUCUUUUCGGGAGGGAGCGGAGCGCUCGACCAUUUCACACUUUUAACUCUCCUCUAAUGAAUUUUUGGGGCACGGCAGAUCAAAAUCAAUAGAUUAAAAUACUGUAUGCCGUGCCGCAUUUAAUUCUUGACUGCCUGAAAUUGCGGGGGAGGACUGAGAAUAACGUUUGUCACUCUUCGAGGGCUGAGUGCAUUCAGAUUUGUGAGCUCCAAGCCAACACGAUGCAAAAAUAGUUCAGGAUGUGACUUAAGUUUUCAAGUGAAAAGCAAAAGGCCAGGGAUCGACGAGGCUCUCUCUGGGCUGGCCGUGUGUAAGGACAGAGAUAGGCAGCCCCAGCCCCAGCUAUCUGCCCCGCUAUCAGGCUGACCCGGCACAGUGUGAUAACAUCUUGGUACCCUGAUGUGAGCCGCCUGUAUCUUAUUGCUCUCCGAAAUGAUCAUUUUCUUUCUAUAUUGCUGUACUUACAUUUGUUUUUUAUUUUUUUCCCCUUUCAAAGCCUGGCUUUUAAGCCAGUGCCAUCUAUGAUGCCGCAGAGAGGUGUGCAGGCCUGUGCUUGUGGUGCAGGGCUGGAGACUGCCCUGCCUUUCCUCUCGGUUGAUGUGAAGCCCCAUGGACUCAGUGACAUGCUUUCCUUCGCGCUUUUUUUUUUUUUUUUUUUUUUUUUUUUUUUCUCACAUGCCUCUCUACGAGAUGUCUUGCAUGGAGGCAUUUGAAGCCAGAGCCGAAGUUUGCUAGAAGUGGUGCUUCUGUACCACGCAGAAAAAAAAAAAAAAAGCAGAUUAGCCAACAACCAACAAAUUGAGCAGUGCCUUUGAGUUUCCAGCGGGGGUAGGGAAUGGAGUGUCCCUGGUUGCCUCUCGCAAUUGUUAAUUCAUAAAGAAGCACAGUCCCGAAAAAUGUUCUCAGCAGCUCUUCCCCCUUUAAAGCAGAAAUGUCAAUGACUGUGUACGGAGGCGUUAAGGCUCAACACCCUAUUUCAGCGCCAGCUCUGGCAUCUCCCUGCCCCUCAUCCCUGGCUUUUGGGCGCUGAACUCGAGCAUCCCCGAGGGCUGUGGGGUGUCGGGGUGAGGGGUGCGCAGGGACACACACUUCUGUCUGCCCAGCACCUGCCGUGGCCAGGGGAUAGCACAUUUUGGGAUGAUUCUGUCGCAGAUUGGAGCAGCUUGAAAAUAACCCUGGGCAAUGGAUGGGAGGGGGGGCAUCCCUGCCACGGGGGCUCUGCAGGCAGCCUGGGCUGCUUCGGGGCUGCAGGGCUGCACCAGCAGGGAUGGAGGGGCUCACACAUGCACACACACACACGCACACCCCCACGUGUGUUUGAGGUGCUGGCCCCAGCCCCGGGGUCCCACCACAGCCAGUUGCCAUCAGCAGGGGACAAGGACCUGGGCGGGGGGGCCGGGGGACUGGGGCAGGGUGCGGGGUGGCUUCCUUCGUUUGUUUGUUUGCUUGUUUGUUUGUUUCUAAAUUCAAUUCCUGGAACAAAAGGGGAGGCUGUGCGUAACUAAAGGAUCCGUCCGUGCAUCCAGAGCUUAGCUCCGGUGGGUCACCCAGGCGGCUCCAAAUGACUGACCGUCCCCUAGGUACCCGAGAGAAUCUUCUACAACGGUGAUGUGAAAUUCCCUGUUACCUGAGGUCAAAAAAAAAAAAAAAGUAAGUCUCCCAGAAGACCUGGAGUGGUGACGUCUGGACCCAGAGGAGAUCACACUGCUUAUAAAUCUGCACCAUGAGGAGGCCAAAAGUUUCUUCAGCAGCAGGAGGUAAGCCAGGACUGCUGGUGGGUAUGAGGACCAGAGAACAAUGCCAUGUAUGUUCACGAAGAAGAAGGUGGCGUUCUUGAGGACAGAGACUUUGGGGCAGCAUCACAGUCCUCCACUGGAAGCUUGAAGAGAUCUUCAGGUGGGAACACACCACCCAGCCGGCUGCUUGUUGGGUUUAGCCCAUGGACCUCUGGGGUUUGCACGCCAGAGACUGAAAUCUCUUGACUUUUCCUAAAUUCCCUCUUUGUGGACUUCUGAUGUGAUAGGAAUGGCACCAAAAAUUCAAUGUAUCUGCUUUGCCAUAACUUUUUCAGCCUGCUAACUUUCCCAGGACUGCAUUCCAUUCAAAUUACUAGAACUUAAUUACAUGAGGUUUAAUUUCAGUUGCUUGGCCAGCUUUAAAAAUAUAUAUUCAAAUUUGAACCACAAGGGCAGAAUUUGGGGAGCCUCUUUGUCCUUUCACUUUGUGUUAGUGUAAAUGAAGAAACUAUGCCUGUGAAUCCCUGCUUUAUUACACCUAUCCCGAGUCAGUCCCGCUUCUGGUGAGACUUCCCAGACUCUCAGCAAUGUAAGGGGGGGCAUGAACUACCCCUUAUGCUAUAUGCUUUUGAAACUGUGCAAACAAAAGAUAUUUGUCUCCUGCUUACACGUUUUCUUGUAAAUAAAACAUGUUGAGACCA